rnacentral:misc_RNA from 1 species
GAUGAAGAACGCAGCAAAAUGCGAUAAGUAAUGUGAAUUGCAGAAUUCAGUGAAUCAUCGAAUCUUUGAACGCACAUUGCGCCCGCUGGUAUUCCGGCGGGCAUGCCUGUUCGAGCGUCAUUUCAACCCUCAAGCUCUCCGGAGUUUGGUGUUGGGGCGCCUGGGGCUUUUCGACCUCAGGGCCCUCAAGUCCAUCGGCGGGACCGCCAGGACACUGAGCGCAGUAGUAUUAUUUCGCUCGGUAGGAUCUUCCACCGCGGGUCGAUCUGGCCGCUAAACCCCCCAAUUCUCACCAAAGGUUGACCUCGGAUCAGGUAGGAAUACCCGCUGAACUUAAGCAUAUCAAUAAGCGGAGGA